UAGAAUAUGGUGUAUGAUUGGUAGCACGAAGAAUUUUGAAUUCUUAGGGUAAGGUUCGAUUCCUUUGAUUCUAG
rnacentral:tRNA from 1 species